GAUCAAGCAAUCAAGGGCACAGGGUGGAUGUCUAGGCACGGACUGGCGAUGAAGGACGUGGCAAGCUGCGAUAAGCCAGGGGUAGCUGCAAGCAAGCGUUAAUCCCUGGAUUUCCGAAUGGGGAAACCCGGCCGGGGUGAUGCCCGGUCAUCCCUUCGCUGAAUACAUAGGCGAUGGGAAGCGAACCGAGGGAACUGAAACAUCUAAGUACCUCGAGGAAGAGAAAACAACCGUGAUUCCCUCAGUAGCGGCGAGCGAACGGGGAAGAGCCCAAACCAUGGAGGUGUCAAGGCGGCAGCCGUUGCUUCCGUGGGGUAGCAGGGUGGUUCGUGAGAGUCUGCCGGCUCUCGGAACGUCGCGCGGCGGUGAGUCGAAUCCGUCUGGAAAGCCAAGCCAUAGAGGGUGACAGCCCCGUAGGCGAAGCCGACGUCGCGAUCUCUGGACCAUUCCUGAGUAGGUCGGGACACGUGAAAUCCCGAUUGAAUCCGGCAGGACCACCUGCCAAGGCUAAAUACACGUCCGUGACCGAUAGUGAACGAGUACCGUGAGGGAAAGAUGAAAAGUACGCCGGGAGGCGGGUGAAACAGAUCCUGAAACCGUGUGCCUACAAGCGGUGGGAGCUCGACCCUCUCUUCGUGAGAGACGUCGGGUGACCGCGUGCCUUUUGCAUUAUGAUCCGGCGAGUUGUUCCUCAGUAGCGAGGUUAAGCCGUUCAGCGGCGGAGCCGAAGCGAAAGCGAGUCUUAACUGGGCGUAAAGUUGCUGGGGACAGACCCGAAACCAGAGUGAUCUAUCCAUGGCCAGGUUGAAGCGAGGGUAAUGCUUCGUGGAGGACCGAACCGUUGUGGGUUGAAAACUGCUCGGAUGAGCUGUGGAUAGGGGUGAAAGGCCAAUCAAACCUGGAGAUAGCUGGUUCUCCCCGAAAGAUAUUUAGGUAUCGCCUCUGAGUGUAGACUGCGGGAGGUAGAGCACUGGAAGGGCUAGGGCCCUAAACCGGGUACCAACCCCUACUAAACUCCGAAUGCCCGUUAGUUGGUCUCAGGGAGGAAGUGCACGUGCGAUAAUGUUCGUGCGCGAGAGGGAAAGAGCCCAGACCUUCAGCUAAGGUCCCCAAGUGCUAGCUAAGUGACAAAGGUGGUGGAUUUGCGGAGACAACUGGGAGGUUGGCUUAGAAGCAGCCAUCCUUGAAAGAGUGCGUAAUAGCUCACCAGUCAAGCGGAUCUGCGCCGAUAAUGGUCGGGACUCAAGUUAGCCACCGAAGCUAAGGCUGCGCGCAUCUGCGCGCGGGGUAGGGGAGCGUUGCCUGAGCCGUGAAGCGGGGCCGGAAGGCUACCCGUGGAGCGCAGGCAAGUGAGAAUGCCGGAAUGAGUACGCGAGAAACAAGGUGAGAACCCUUGUCGCCGUAAGCCCAAGGUUUCCUGAGCCAUGCCAAUCAGCUCAGGGUUAGUCGGCCCCUAAGGUGAGGCCGAAAGGCGUAGCCGAUGGAAAACGGGUCAACAUUCCCGUACCACACGAUACUGCGCUUGAGUCUGCGGAGGGACGCAGAGGUGAAAGGUCCGUCGUUUCCAUGGACAUGAACGAUGUAAGGAGGUAGGCGUUUCCGGGUAGGCAAAUCCGCCCGGUGAAGCCGAGAUCCGAUGCCGAAGAAGUCUUCGGACUUCGCUAAGGGACCGUAAUCGUACUGCCAAGAAAAGCUUCGUGGACGAGGAGUACGUGUGACCGUACCGCAAACCGACACAGGUGGGCGAGGCGAGUAGCCUCAGGCGCUCGAGUGAGUCUUGGUUAAGGAACUCGGCAAAAUGUCCCCGUAACUUAGGGAGAAGGGGAGCCGGCAGUAGGUGACCCUGCCUCGCGCAGGAGAGCCGAAACCGGCCGCAGAGAAUCGGCCCAAGCGACUGUUUAGUAAAAACAUAGGUGUCUGCAAAGUCGUCAAGACGACGUAUAGGCACUGACGCCUGCCCGGUGCCGGAAGGUUAAAUGGAAGGGUUAGCUUCGGCGAAGCUCUGAAAUGAAGCCCCGGUAAACGGCGGCCGUAACUAUAACGGUCCUAAGGUAGCGAAAUU
rnacentral:rRNA from 1 species